UACGUAGGUGGCAAGCGUUGUCCGGAUUUACUGGGCGUAAAGGGCGCGUAGGCGGCCUUCUAAGUCAGACGUGAAAUCCCCCGGCUUAACCUGGGAACUGCGUCUGAUACUGGGAGGCUCGAGUAUGGGAGAGGGAUGUAGAAUUCCAGGUGUAGCGGUGAAAUGCGUAGAUAUCUGGAGGAAUACCGGUGGCGAAGGCGGCAUCCUGGACCAUUACUGACGCUGAGGCGCGAAAGCUAGGGGAGCAAACGGG
rnacentral:rRNA from 1 species